CAGUAGCCGCGGUAAUACGAAGGGUGCAAGCGUUAAUCGGAAUUACUGGGCGUAAAGCGUGCGCAGGCGGUUAUGUAAGACAGAUGUGAAAUCCCCGGGCUCAACCUGGGAAUGGCAAUGGAUACUGGCAAGCUAGAGUGUGUCAGAGGAUGGUGGAAUUCCCGGUGUAGCGGUGAAAUGCGUAGAGAUCGGGAGGAACAUCAGUGGCGAAGGCGGCCAUCUGGGACAACACUGACGCUGAGGCACGAAAGCGUGGGGAGCAAACAGGAUUAGAUACCCCCGUAGUCCCUGUCUCUUAUAC
rnacentral:rRNA from 1 species